rnacentral:rRNA from 1 species
AAGCCCAGCACUGAACCUCGUGUCUCCGGAUACCGAGGAAUGUAGUGUUCAGGAGAGAGGUGGUUUGCCUGUCCGGUGAUUGUCCAAGUCCCCAUGAUCGGGGCUAGAGUCCGCAGAGGGUGUCAGGCCCGUAGUGACGCACCGCGACCGUGAACGCUUGAUCUCCUAAGAGUCGGGUUGCUUGAGAGUGCAGCCCUAAGCGGGAGGUAAACUCCUUCUAAGGCUAAAUACCGCCACGAGACCGAUAGCAAACAAGUACCGCGAGGGAAAGUUGAAAAGAACUUUGAAGAGAGAGUUCAAGAGUGCGUGAAACCGUUCAGGGGGUUAAACGGGUGGGCCCUCGAAGGUCGAACGGCAUCUACUCCCGUUACCUGCAUACGAGCCUGCGCUGGGACGAGUCGCAUUCUGCGGCCGCCGAGUGUGGUACGCUUGGGGCGUGCAGGGACCGCUAGUUGGAUGCCUAGUAGGACUCCGCAACCGGCUGGGGUGAUACGGUCGUCAGACGGGUCUUGAGGAGCGGCCUCCUUGUGGGGCUGUCUUUUUGAGAUUCCCGGCGACCACUCGGCCGUUGAGUGCUGCCUCGCUGUUCCUCAUGGAUGGACGAGCGUUUUGACCUUUGCGGGGAGAAGCGUUGUCGGUUCGUUCGAGGCUCCGGUGAGAAGCGCGGAGAGUAGGUCGGGUCCCACCCGACCCGUCUUGAAACACGGACCAAGGAGUCUAACAUGUGCGCGAGUCGUCGAGUUGUACCAAACUCGAAGGCGCAAUGAAAGUAAAGGCUAGGCUUGCCCUAGCUGAGGGGAGAUCCCGUUUCUGCUUCGGUAGCGCGGGCGCAUCCCCGGGGCGUCUAGACUGCGUUGCCAGUCGGACGCACCUAGAGCGUACACGUUGGGACCCGAAAGAUGGUGACCUAUGCCUGGCCAGGAC